rnacentral:rRNA from 1 species
GACGAACGCUGGCGGCGUGCUUAACACAUGCAAGUCGUACGGUAAGGCCCUUUCGGGGGUACACGAGUGGCGAACGGGUGAGUAACACGUGAGUAACCUGCCCACAACUUUGGGAUAACGCUAGGAAACUGGUGCUAAUACUGGAUAUGUGCUCCUGCUGCAUGGUGGGGGUUGGAAAGCUCCGGCGGUUGUGGAUGGACUCGCGGCCUAUCAGCUUGUUGGUGGGGUAGUGGCUUACCAAGGCGGCGCCGGGUAGCCGGCCUGGGAGGGUGACCGGCCACAGUGGGACUGGGAUACGGCCCAGACUCCUACGGGAGGCAGAAGUAGCGGAUGUUGCACAAUGGGCGCGAGCCUGAUGCAGCAACGGCGCGUGCGGGAUGACGGCCUUCGGGUUGGAAACCGCAUUCAGCAGGGACGAAGCUUUUUGUGACGGUACCUGCAGAAGAAGCACCGGCUAACUACGUG